UAAAUAAUUCAUGGGCAAGAACAUUGAACUUCUCCACAAGAGGCAGCAGAAGAGAUAUAAUCAUCCAGGACUGUGACAUUAGUAUCUUGAAAAUUCAUUAUGGCAUGAUAAAGAAGAAUCAAAUGAAUGAAUAGCUCCCCAGCACAGAUAUCCACUGAAUGUUAAGUGACAAAGUCAAACAGGCGAUGUCUACUGCUGUAUAAUUUUUCAUUUUUCCCUGCUUACAUUGCAUUUUUCAGUCAAAGCCACAGUUUCCUUCCAUGAACGGGGAAAAAAAAACAAAUCCUAGACUAAAUAUCAGCUGAUAGUCCUAACAUAGAUAGCGUCAUUCUCAGGUUUCAUCCAAAAAGGAACAAACAGUACUGCAUGUGCCUGCUCCAAAUAUAGAAGUUCUAGCAAUCUCAAAUAUUCAUUAUGUAACCUACCGGCUUGCAUGACUGCACAGCUAGACAGAAUCCCUCGUAUAGCAUAACUUAUAUCUCUAAACCAUCCCUUCAAAUGCUUCUCUUCAUUUUCAAGCAAGAAUCAUGCUCAGAACACUCUAAAAGAAUUUUGCUAUAAAAAGGAUCCUUUCAGGCUUUCUCACAAUAAGAAGCUCCAAUACUCC